rnacentral:rRNA from 1 species
CACGUAGGGUGCGAGCGUUGUCCGGAAUUAUUGGGCGUAAAGAGCUCGUAGGCGGUGUGUCGCGUCGGCCGUGAAAACCUGCAGCUUAACUGUGGGCUUGCGGUCGAUACGGGCAUCACUGGAGUUCGGCAGGGGAGACUGGAAUUCCUGGUGUAGCGGUGAAAUGCGCAGAUAUCAGGAGGAACACCGGUGGCGAAGGCGGGUCUCUGGGCCAUUACUGACGCUGAGGAGCGAAAGCGUGGGGAGCGAACAGG